UCGAUUCACUGUCAAAGCA
rnacentral:snRNA from 1 species